UUUUUUUUCAGUUAAAAGGGUUUUUUCAUUUGACGAACACAAAGCAACAAAAUAGUUCUUGGAUGAAAAGGCUGAAAAGUGGGAAGUUGGAUUUGGGUGUUAGGAGGGACAUACUUGAUUGGAUUUGGAAGGAGCAUACUAUUUGUUAUUGGAUGUUAGGAGGGACAUACUUGAUUGGAUUUGGAAGGUUCUUCGAUGUUUAGGGUUUUUUCAUUUGACGAACACAAAGCAACAAAAUAGUUCUUGGAUGAAAAGGCUGAAAAGUGGGAAGUUGGAUUUGGGUGUUAGGAGGGACAUACUUGAUUGGAUUUGGAAGGAGCAUACUAUUUGUUAUUGGAUGUUAGGAGGGACAUACUUGAUUGGAUUUGGAAGUCAACAAGCAGGUUAUCUUACAACUUUAGUUCCAUAUUGCAUUCAAUAAGCAGGUAACAUGUUCUUUUUCUUUUAUUUUCUUG